rnacentral:rRNA from 1 species
UACGAAGGGGGCUAGCGUUGCUCGGAAUCACUGGGCGUAAAGGGUGCGUAGGCGGGUCUUUAAGUCAGGGGUGAAAUCCUGGAGCUCAACUCCAGAACUGCCUUUGAUACUGGGAAGCUUGAGUCCGGAAGAGGUGAGUGGAACUCCGAGUGUAGAGGUGAAAUUCGUAGAUAUUCGGAAGAACACCAGUGGCGAAGGCGGCUCACUGGUCCGGUACUGACGCUGAGGUGCGAAAGCGUGGGGAGCAAACAGG